rnacentral:tRNA from 1 species
GCCCUCAUAGGCUAACGGAUAGACUACGGGGUUCCGAACCCCGUGAUCGGGGUUCAAUUCCCCGUGGGGGCG